rnacentral:rRNA from 1 species
GGUGAACGCUGGCGGCGUGCCUAAGACAUGCAAGUCGAGCGGGGCAGGUUUAUCCCUGUUCAGCGGCGGACGGGUGAGUAACGCGUGGGUGACCUACCCGGAAGAGGCGGACAACCUGGGGAAACCCAGGCUAAUCCGCCCUGUGGUCCUGUCCUGUGGGGCAGGACUAAAGGGUGGAUAGCCCGCUUCCGGUGGGGCCCGCGUCCCAUCAGCCAGUUGGUGGGGCAAAGGGCCACCAAGGCGACGACUGGUAGCCGGGCUGAGCGGAUGGCCGGCCAGAGGGGCACUGCGACACGGGCCGCAGUCCUAGGGGAGGCAGCAGCGAGAAAGCUUCCGGCAUGGACGGAAGUCUGACGGAGCGACGCGGCUGGGAGGAGGAAGCCGUUCGGGGUGUAAACUCCUGAACUGGGGACGAAAGCCCUGUGAAGGGGGAUGACGGUACCCAGGUAAUAGCGCCGGCCAACUCCGUG